rnacentral:rRNA from 1 species
CCUACGGGUGGCAGCAGUAGGGAAUAUUGCUCAAUGGGGGAAACCCUGAAGCAGCAACGCCGCGUGGAGGAUGAAGGUUUUCGGAUUGUAAACUCCUUUUGUUAGAGAAGAAAAUGACGGUAUCUAACGAAUAAGCACCGGCUAACUCCGUGCCAGCAGCCGCGGUAAUACGGAGGGUGCAAGCGUUACUCGGAAUCACUGGGCGUAAAGAGCGCGUAGGCGGGUUAGCAAGUCAGAUGUGAAAGUCUAUGGCUUAACCGUAAAACUGCAUUUGAAACUGUUAUUCUAGAGUACGGGAGAGGUAGGUGGAAUUCGUGGUGUAGAGGUGAAAUGCGUAGAGAUCACGAAGAAUUCUCAUUGCGAAGGCGGCCUGCUAGAACGUAACUGACGCUGAUGCGCGAAAGCGUGGGGAGCAAACAGGAUUAGAUACCCUUGUAGUC